CGAACUCCGAGGCGGACGGGAGCUGAGGGCUGGGUCUUUGCGGGCGAGAUGAGGGUGUCGGUUCAACUGGCCUACAAAGUCCCAGUCCUCGGCCCCCAGGACCGGCGUCUCCUCCG
rnacentral:pre_miRNA from 13 species